AGGACGAACGCUGGCGGCGUGCUUAACACAUGCAAGUCGAACGGUGAAGCCCUUCGGGGUGGAUCAGUGGCGAACGGGUGAGUAGCACGUGGGUAAUCUGCCCUUGACUCUGGGAUAACUUCGGGAAACCGGAGCUAAUACCGGAUAUUCACAUUCUGGCGCAUGCUGGUCUGUGGAAAGAAUUUUGGUCAAGGAUGAGCUCGCGGCCUAUCAGCUUGUUGGUGGGGUAAUGGCCUACCAAGGCGACGACGGGUAGCCGGCCUGAGAGGGCGACCGGCCACACUGGGACUGAGACACGGCCCAGACUCCUACGGAGGCAGCAGUGGGGAAUAUUGCGCAAUGGGCGAAAGCCUGACGCAGCGACGCCGCGUGAGGGAUGAAGGCCUUCGGGUCGUAAACCGUCUUUCAGCAGGGAAGAAGCGAAAGUGACGGUACCUGCAGAAGAAGCCCCGGCUAACUCGCGCCAGCAGCCGCGGUAA
rnacentral:rRNA from 1 species